rnacentral:rRNA from 1 species
UAGUCCACGCCGUAAACGAUGGAUACUAGCUGUUUGACCAACAGGAUAAGUGGCUAAGCGAAAGUGAUAAGUAUCCCACCUGGGGAGUACGUCGGCAACGAUGAAACUCAAAGGAAUUGACGGGGGCCCGCACAAGCGGUGGAGCAUGUGGUUUAAUUCGAUGAUACGCGAGGAACCUUACCAGGGCUUAAAUGUAGAGUGAUAGGUCUAGAGAUAGAUUUUUCUUCGGACACUUUACAAGGUGCUGCAUGGUUGUCGUCAGCUCGUGCCGUGAGGUGUCAGGUUAAGUCCUAUAACGAGCGCAACCCCUGUUGUUAGUUGCCAGCAUGUAAAGAUGGGAACUCUAGCAAGACUGCCGGUGCAAACCGUGAGGAAGGUGGGGAUGACGUCAAAUCAUCACGGCCCUUACGUCCUGGGCUACACACGUGCUACAAUGGUAGGUACAGAGAGCAGCCACUUCGCGAGAAGGAGCAAAUCUACAAAGCCUAUCACAGUUCGGAUC